ensembl:lncRNA
UGAGGAAUGAUUUGUAGGGAAGGAGAGGUGCCUGAGGAAUGAUUUGUAGGGAAGGAGAGGUGCCUGAGGAAUGAUUUGUAGGGAGGGAGAGGUGCCUGAGGAAUGAUUUGUAGGGAAGGAGAGGUGCCUGAGGAAUGAUUUGUAGGGAGGGAGAGGUGCCUGAGGAAUGAUUUGUAGGGAAGGAGAGGUGCCUGAGGAAUGAUUUGUAGGGAAGGAGAGGAGCCUGAGGAAUGAUUUGUAGGGACGGAGAGGUGCCUGAGGAAUGAUUUGUAGGGAAGGAGAGGAGCCUGAGGAAUGAUUUGUAGGGAAUGAGAGGUGCCUGAGGAAUGAUUUGUAGGGAAGGAGAGGAGCCUGAGGAAUGAUUUGUAGGGAAGGAGAGGAGCCUGAGGAAUAAUUUGUAGGGACGGAGAGGUGCCUGAGGAAUGAUUUGUAGGGAAGGAGAGGAGCCUGAGGAAUGCUCUUCAGGUGUACAGUCGUUGAUUUUAGAGGUGGAAGAGAGAAGUGCUCAGACUCAAAGGGCUUUGGACUGGCCGUGAGCCAGCAAGCAAACACUGGGCGCCUAUGAGGAGAACCGCUAUGGUGCUGGGGGGAGGUCAGAAAUAGUUGGCUCAUUUUCCAUCUGCAUAUCCAACGAUAGAGAAAUGAUAUAUUCUUCUCUGGAGACCGUGACAUAAAGUUCUAGCCUAAUCAUCAACCAUUCCCCACUCACUCAAACACACGCCUACACAGUACUAUCAGAUGUCUAAACUUGAAGAUUUACAGUAAAAAGGAGCUCUCUUUUUGGGAAGUUGCCUUGGCGAUGGGCCAACAGGGAGUCCGCCUGCUUUGUGUGUAUGUAUGUGUGUGUGCGUGUGUGUGUUGUUGUUGUGACUCAGUGUUUGUGGGCUGCAGAUAACUGUGUCAAAAUUAAAAGCAAAUGUGUCCCAUCUCAAAUGGAUUUUAGGGCUUUAGUAAGAAAAUAACAGUCCUCAGUUUGCCGUGGCAGAUGUUUGUCAGAGUCUAAGAAUGUACUGUACAGACACUGUACAGAUACUAUCUUAAUUUGACCAGUUUCGCACUGCAGGAAAAUAAUCCUGCAGGAACAGGAAAUGUGAAUUAUUAUGUGGAUUGUAAUUAAUGGACGUUUUUAUAGGGGCUGAUUCAUUGUUUUUUUUUAAAU